GAAACGACGGCCAACGUUGAUGACCUGGAUGAAGGACAGGUUCCUAUGGGUCAGAGUGAGAGGAGGACAACAGAAAGGGAGUCAAUACAAGCUGUAACUGAAGACAAUGAAAAAUGGAACACCCAUCAGGAUUUGGGGUUCAGUAUCUUGCCCAAGGAUACUUCGGCAUGUGUACCGGAGGAACAGAGGAUUGAACCGCCGAUCUUGCAGUUGGUGGACAACCUGCUCUGGAGGUUGAAGGCUAUUAAGGACGGAGGGUGAUGUGGUCAUGUGCGAGUGUGUUGACCAAGGAAGACCAUCCUUCAUUCUGGGAAAACAAACCAAAACAAAAGACGUGGCGAGACGAGACUUGACUUGAGAUUCUAUGAGCGGGUGACUGACAUUUUAAGACCCAGAGGGCAGGUUUUGUGUUCAAGACGUAUACUUACUUCAUCUCACAAUCCUGAUUAAAGAGUCCUCAAAGUCUGACUGUGACAUUAAAAUUAAGCCGAGCUCAGUGACGUUAUUCCUGGCUGACUCUGAAUGUUGACCUUGCCCACUGCAGUAUUACCAUGCGUCAGAAAGGUACAGUACAUGCUGUAUUACCUGCCUCUGCAAAUACCCCCUGACACUGUAUACAUACCAAUAAUGACAGAAGGCGUGUCAGCGUUGAUAUUUAAUAAUCUGUGCUUGCUGAAACCAUAUCACCUUUCUUUACCUGCCGCCAACAGAGCAGCAAAUGUGAUUAAAAGGACAAUUCACUGCCCGCUGCUGCUGCAUUAUAUUAAGUAAGUGUAACAGCUGAGGUGCACAGGGGUCAGUGGUUACUACAGAACAGCCUCAGGAAAUGA